GGAUGUGAGGGCAAUCUGGCUGUGAUAUCUGUCACCCCAUUGAUCGCCAGGGUUGAUUCGGCUGAUCUGGCUGGCUAGGCGGGUGUCCCCUUCCUCCCUCACCACUUCAUGUGCAUCCCUCCCGAAGCUGCAGGCUCGGUGGAAAAGGACAACCUUCCCCAUUAGAAGAGGACCAGUCUUCGGUCAAGGGUAUACGAGUAGCUGCGCUCCCCUGCUAGAACCUCCAAACAAGCUCUCGAGGUCCAAAUUAGAGAAUUAUAAUAUAUAAAUUUUAAAAAAUAAUAAUAACAUAUAAAUUUAAAAAAUAUAU
rnacentral:snRNA from 1 species